GUCUGUAUGAAGUUAAAUAGAGUCUAUUCUGCCCACUGAGAAGGAAAUUCUUAAAAGGCCGCGGUAUACUAACUGUGCAAAGGUAGCAUAAUCAGUAGUUUUUUAAUUGAAGGCUUGUAUGAAUGAUUGGACAAGGGUAAAGCUGUCUUUUUUUGAUAACUUGAAUUUUAUUUUUAAGUGAAAAAGCUUAAAUGAAAUAGAGGGACGAUAAGACCCUAUAAAUCUUUAUGUCAAACUUUUGUUUAAGGAAAUAUUCUUGGUUAAGACAAAUUGCAAAAGAAGUGGCAUUAUGCUGGGGUGGUAGUGAUAUAUAAAUAACUAUUAAAAUAAAAUAACAAUUAUGUUUGGUGAAGUAAAAGAACCUGUCUAAGGAAUAAAAGAAUAAGUUACUUUAGGGAUAACAGCAUAAUUUCUUUUGAGAGUCCAAAUCGAAAAAGAAGUUUAUGACCUCGAUGUUGAAUUAAAAUUUCCUCAGGGUGCAGAAGUUCUGGGGGAAAGUCUGUUCGACUUUUAAAAUUUUACAUGAUUUGAGUUCAGACCGGCGUGAG
rnacentral:rRNA from 1 species